GCUGACACAUCCCUGCCAAUCUCCGGCAGACCCUCCCUCCCAGACCCUCCCACCUCCUGGACAGCAUCCAUGUUGAAGCUGCCUUCAACAUGGAUGCUGUCCAGGAAGUCGGAGGGUCUGGGAGGGAGGGUCUGCCGGGGAUUGGCAGGGAUGUGUCAG